UUUCUUCAGGUUCUUCCAGGGAGCCACUGACCCACAGAUGGCUUCGAGUGUUUUACCGCCCAAAUAAGACCUUUGUUACAAACCAUCUGACUGCUUCUAUUUAAACAUGUCAUCUUUCAUUUUCUCCUUAAUGUCAAUAUCCUAUUAAUUCAAUUCACAAAAAGUGGGAUUCUGUGUGCCAGUUGGCUAUAUUUUGAUGAACUCUCUUGUAUGGCACUUUUUGCUUAUUUAGUAAAUUUAAUAAUGAAGUGUAGUUUCUAGAAGUUUCUGGAGAAAAGGAAGAUCGAUUUGGAGAAGAAGACAGUAGCCAUCCUGCUAAGAAGUCCACUGAGUUCGACCCUGUUGGCAUCAAGUGCUAUUGGAGUGUGAGGCUGAGGAACUUCUACAUUGUGUCCUGGCCAGGAGCGCACGCACUCCAGUCUUCAUUCCUGGCAAAGGAAUGGACAACAGCCAGCUAGAAAAGGAAACUUCUGACCUCCUUGCCCAGCUCCUCCUUCUGCCCUAUGGCUACCCCACUGUGUUAGGCAUCGAUACCCAACCAACUGUGGAUCCCCCUCCCCACAAUAAAAGCCUGC